AGCAGUCGCCACGGGAAUACGAAGGGGGCUAGCGUUGUUCGGAUUUACUGGGCGUAAAGCGCGCGUAGGCUGCGCAGCAAGUCAGUGGUGAAAUCCCGGGGCUCAACCUCGGAACUGCCAUUGAAACUGCUGCGCUGGAAUCUCAGAGGGGGUAGCGGAAUUCCAAAUGUAGGGGUGAAAUCCGUAGAUAUUUGGAGGAACACCGGUGGCGAAGGCGGCUACCUGGCUGAGUAUUGACGCUGAGGCGCGAAAGCGUGGGGAUCAAACAGGAUUAGAUACCCCGGUAGUCCCUGUCUCUUAUAC
rnacentral:rRNA from 1 species